AACGCGAAGAACCUUACCUACUCUUGACAUCCAGAGAACUUUCCAGAGAUGGAUUGGUGCCUUCGGGAACUCUGAGACAGGUGCUGCAUGGCUGUCGUCAGCUCGUGUUGUGAAAUGUUGGGUUAAGUCCCGCAACGAGCGCAACCCUUAUCCUUGUUUGCCAGCGAGUAAUGUCGGGAACUCCAGGGAGACUGCCGGUGAUAAACCGGAGGAAGGUGGGGACGACGUCAAGUCAUCAUGGCCCUUACGAGUAGGGCUACACACGUGCUACAAUGGCGCAUACAGAGGGCGGCCAACUUGCGAAAGUGAGCGAAUCCCAAAAAGUGCGUCGUAGUCCGGAUUGGAGUCUGCAACUCGACUCCAUGAAGUCGGAAUCGCUAGUAAUCGUGGAUCAGAAUGCCACGGUGAAUACGUUCCCGGGUCUUGUACACACCG
rnacentral:rRNA from 1 species